GUGCCAGCCGCCGCGGUAAUACGUAGGGAGCAAGCGUUGUCCGGAAUCAUUGGGCGUAAAGCGCGCGUAGGCGGCCCGAUAAGUCCGCUGUGAAAGUCAACGGCUCAACUGUUGGAUGCCGGUGGAUACUGUCGGGCUAGAGUACGGAAGAGGCAAGUGGAAUUCCUGGUGUAGCGGUGGAAUGCGCAGAUAUCAGGAGGAACACCUAUAGCGAAGGCAGCUUGCUGGGACGUUACUGACGCUAAGGCGCGAAAGCGUGGGGAGCGAACAGGAUUAGAAACCCGGGUAGUCC
rnacentral:rRNA from 1 species